CCGAAUCUUCUUUUCUAAUGGGGAUUGGGGACCCACUGCAAUCCGAGGGUCUUGAAUAUAUUUGGCCCAGGCCAAU
rfam:Loxodonta africana cont3.87279, whole genome shotgun sequence.